rnacentral:rRNA from 1 species
AGCAGCCGCGGUAAUUCCAGCUCCAAUAGCGUAUAUUAAAGUUGUUGCAGUUAAAAAGCUCGUAGUUGAAUUUCGAGACCGGCUUACUGGUCGUGCUAUUGUACGUACUGGUAUAAUCGGUUUCUCCUUUCUGACGAACUUUAAUGCCAUUAAUUUGGUGUUUUAGGGAAUCAGGACUGUUACUUUGAAAAAAUUAGAGUGUUUAAAGCAGGCUCACGCUUGAAUACAUUAGCAUGGAAUAACGGAAUAGGACGUUUGAUUCUAUUUUGUUGGUUUCUAGGAUCGACGUAAUGAUUAAUAGGGAUAGUUGGGGGCAUUAGUAUUCAAUUGUCAGAGGUGAAAUUCUUGGAUUUAUUGAAGACUAACUACUGCGAAAGCAUUUGCCAAGGAUGUUUUCAUUAAUCAAGAACGAAAGUUAGGGGAUCGAAGACGAUCAGAUACCGUCGUAGUCUUAACCAUAAACUAUGCCGACUAGGGAUCGGAUGAUGUUAAUUUUUUAAUGACCCAUUCGGCGCCUUACG